CAGCAGCCGCGGGAAUACGAACCGUCCGAAUGUUAUUCGGAAUUACUGGGCUUAAAGCGCGUGUAGGCGGGUCGACACGUCCGACGCUGAAAUCCCCCGGCUCAACCGGGGAAGGGGCCCGGAUACGAUCGACCCGGAGGGGGGUAGGGGGGUCUGGAACUUCCGGUGGAGCGGUGAAAUGCGUUGAGAUCGGAAGGAACGCCCGUGGCGAAAGCGAGACCCUGGACCUCAUCUGACGCUGAGACGCGAAAGCCAGGGGAGCGAACGGGAUUAGAUACCCCUGUAGUCCCUGUCUCUUAUA
rnacentral:rRNA from 1 species